rnacentral:tRNA from 1 species
AGGCCAGUAGCUCCAAUUGGUAGAGCAACGGAUUCCAAAUCCGUGUGUUGUCGGUUCGAAUCCGACCUGGCCUGCCA